rnacentral:rRNA from 1 species
AUUGAACGCUGGCGGAAUGCUUUACACAUGCAAGUCGAACGGCAGCACGGGGGCAGCCCUGGCGGCGAGUGGCGAACGGGUGAGUAAUACAUCGGAACGUGCCCGGUCGUGGGGGAUAACGUAGCGAAAGUUACGCUAAUACCGCAUACGAUCUGAGGAUGAAAGCGGGGGACCUUCGGGCCUCGCGCGAUCGGAGCGGCCGAUGUCAGAUUAGGUAGUUGGUGGGGUAAAGGCCUACCAAGCCGACGAUCCGUAGCUGGUCUGAGAGGACGACCAGCCACACUGGGACUGAGACACGGCCCAGACUCCUACGGGAGGCAGCAGUGGGGAAUUUUGGACAAUGGGCGCAAGCCUGAUCCAGCCAUUCCGCGUGCAGGACGAAGGCCUUCGGGUUGUAAACUGCUUUUGUACGGAACGAAAAGGCUCUGGCUAAUACCUGGGGCUCAUGACGGUACCGUAAGAAUAAGCACCGGCUAACUACGUG